AACACUUUUAAACUUUUUUCACUUUUAUACACUUUUAUAUUGUAACAAUCAAAGCGUUACCAUUUAUUCAUUGUAACUGUGUCUGGGCCCAUAACCUAUUGUUAUUUAAUAAUAAAGAAGAAAUACAAUUAAGUAUUAACCAGACAACCACCAAUGAAUAAAUAAUAACGCCCAAUUAGAUUUUAGGUGUACCACACGCUCUCAAUGCCAGAAAGGAAGUGAACGAUAAUAUCGAUAGGUUAAGAGAUCAACGAACAGGCGUGAUAGAUGUCAAGACAACAACGAACACAUUUUGGUGUGCAUAAUUAAUAAUGUGACUUUUGCAUAUUUGAAGAUACAAAUUUCAACAGUUAUGAUAUCGAAACCAAAGCCCAAUCGUCACAAUGGAAGAGCCCAGUGGUGCUUCAGGAGUUCUUACCAUAUGGUCGUACGGUCAAUAAACAGUAUUAUCUGGAAGUUAUGCGCCGUUUGCGAGAAGAAAUACGAAAGAAGCGUCCAGAAUUGUGGAAAAACAAUUCAUGGCUUCUGCAUCACGAUAAUGCCCCUGCUCUCUCAUCUUUGCUUGUGAGAGAUUUUUUGGCCAAAAACAACACCACAAUAAUGCCUCAGCAAUAUGGUAUUCACCGGAUUUGGCCCCAUGUGACUUUUUCUUGUUCCCAAAACUAAAGAGACCUAUGAAAGGACGGAGAUUUGCAACGAUUGAAGAGAUAAAGACUGCAUCGCUGGAAGAGCUCAAGGCUAUACCGAAAGGUGCUUAUGGGAAGUGCUUUGAGGAUUGGAAAAACCAUUGGCAUAGGUGUAUUGUAUCUGAGGGGGAUUACAUUGAAGGGGACAACAUUAAUAUUGUUAAAUAAAUUAAUAGUUUUUCUUGAAAAUACAAAGUCACCUUACUUUUUGAACACACCUCGUAUGCAAGUAGUCUAAUUGAUGAAGUUUGAGCUUUGAAUCUUUUAUUUCCAGAGUGGCAAUAUCUGACUGUCAUACGGGGGCCAGAAUCUUUGAAGAUGCGACAUCUGGAUAUGAUGGUCUACAAGGUGGUGCAAACCAACGAACAGUACUCAAAAUCCAAGUAUGUGACAUCAUCAACGGAGAAGGCGAACUACCUCAAGUUCUUGUUAAAAAUUUCACAUGAGCUUUUUAUUUUUGUAAGCCUAUUUUGAGUAAUAUACGGUUUAAAUGCGUUUAAGUGCUUUCUAAUAAAUCCCACUUUUUGGAAGAAACCUGGAAAGAAGGUGGAACAUAUGGCCACUGGUACAUAGCGGAACAAUGGUACGGAUGCGGCAUUAAAGCCAAAUGACGUUUAUCUGUCGAGCAAAGUUCAGCGAUUCCCCUAGGACUGCCAUUCGGAGUAAGUGGAUAGACAGCAUAUCAGGUUCUCCUCUCGGUAUGCAAAGCGGCCUUCUCCGUAUUCUUAUACAGCUUGAGUAAAAUACAGUUUAUUUGCGUUAAAGUGGUUUCUUAUAAAUCCGACUUAACACACCAAUUAUAUGCGUUGUUAAACAUAAUCUGCCAAGGACUCUCAACCUGUUUGGGAGAAACCUCGAAAAAAGGUGGAACAUAUGGCC